CAUAGUGUGGCCUAGUGGUUUUGGCGUUGGACUAUGACUCUGGAGACCAGGGUUUGAUUCCCAGCUUGGCCA